rnacentral:rRNA from 1 species
AUGCUGAAAAUUGACCUUGCCAAAGCUCUUGAGAGAAUUGAGUGGCACUUCAUUGUCUCAGCUCUUGCUCAUAAGGGUCUCCAUGGCCAUUUCAUAAAACUUGUUCAUGCAUGCAUUUCAUCCCCAACGUUUUCCGUGAUCAUUAAUGGCCAAUCUUUUGCAAAAUUCAAUAGUUCCAGAGGCAUUAGACAAGGAUGUCCUUUGUCACCGUAUCUUUUUGUCCUUGCAGUAAAUGAGUUAUUUCUUAUGUUACAGGAUGCCUUGCAAGCUAAUCACCUCACAUGUAUUUCGUUUGGACCAAUUCCUCCUAUUCACUCUUUCAUGUUUGCAGAUGACCUGAUUGUUUGUGGCAAAGCUAAUGUGUAGGAAGCUAAUACUAUUUUACAACUUUUAGACCAUUUUUGUUGUGAUUCAGGGCAAAAUCCAAACUGGAGUGAAUCUGGUAUCUUAUUCCGCAAUAAUGUUAUGAUGCAGGUUAAACCAGACAUUGUUAGUAACUAG